rnacentral:rRNA from 1 species
AGGACGAACGCUGGCGGCGUGCCUAAUACAUGCAAGUAGAACGCUGAAGACUUUAGCUUGCUAAAGUUGGAAGAGUUGCGAACGGGUGAGUAACGCGUAGGUAACCUGCCUACUAGCGGGGGAUAACUAUUGGAAACGAUAGCUAAUACCGCAUAACAGCAUUUAACACAUGUUAGAUGCUUGAAAGGAGCAAUUGCUUCACUAGUAGAUGGACCUGCGUUGUAUUAGCUAGUUGGUGAGGUAACGGCUCACCAAGGCGACGAUACAUAGCCGACCUGGGAGGGUGAUCGGCCACACUGGGACUGAGACACGGCCCAGACUCCUACGGGAGGCAGCAGUAGGGAAUCUUCGGCAAUGGGGGCAACCCUGACCGAGCAACGCCGCGUGAGUAGAAGAAGGUUUUCGGAUCGUAAAGCUUUGUUGUAAGAGAAGAACGUGUGUGAGAGUGGAAAGUUCACACAGUGACGGUAACUUACCAGAAAGGGACGGCUAACUACGUGCCAGCAGCAGC